rnacentral:rRNA from 1 species
AUUGAACGCUGGCGGCAGGCCUAACACAUGCAAGUCGAGCGAGUGGCGGACGGGUGAGUAAUGUAUGGGGAUCUGCCCGAUAGAGGGGGAUAACUACUGGAAACGGUGGCUAAUACCGCAUACUAUCGGAUGUACCCAUAUGGGAUUAGCUAGUAGGGGGGGUAAAGGCUCACCUAGGAGACGAUCGCUAGCUGGUCUGAGAGGAUGACCAGCCACACUGGAACUGAGACACGGCCCAGACUCCUACGGGAGGCAGCAAUGGGGAAUAUUGCACAAUGGGCGCAAGCCUGAUGCAGCCAUGCCGCGGGUAUGAAGAAGGCCUGAGGGUUGUAAAGUACUUUCAGCGGGGAGGCGUUACCCGCAGAAGAAGCACCGGCUAACUCCGUGCCAGCAGCCGCGGUAAUUC